rnacentral:rRNA from 1 species
AGAGUUUGAUCAUGGCUCAGAACGAACGCUGGCAGCGUGGAUUAGGCAUGCAAGUCGAACGGGAUCACCCCGGUAGCAAUACUGGGGCGUGAGAGUGGCGGAAGGGCGAGUAAGGCAUGGGCAACCUGCCCCCUGACCGGGGAUAACCCGGCGAAAGCCGGGCUAAUACCGGAUGCGGCCCCGGGAGGCAUCUCCCGGGUGCUAAAGGCGGGGAUCCGCAAGGACCUGCCGUCAGGGGAGGGGCCCGUGUGCCAUCAGCUUGUUGGUGGGGUAACGGCUCACCAAGGCAUACGGCUAGCUGGUCUGAGAGGACGACCAGCCGCACUGGGACUGAGACACUGCCCAGACUCCUACGGGAGGCUGCAGUCGAGGAUCAUUCGCAAUGGGCGGAAGCCUGACGAUGCGACGCUGCGUGGAGGACGAAGGCCUUCGGGUUGUAAACUCCUGUCAUGGGGGAAAAAGGUUCCCGCGGCUAAUACCCGCGGGUCUCGAUGGUACCCCAAGAGGAAGCCACGGCUAACUCUGUGCCAGCAGCCGCGGUAAUACAGAGGUGGCGAGCGUUGUUCGGAUUUACUGGGCGUAAAGGGCGCGUAGGCGGCCUUGUGUGUCGCGUGUGAAAUCCCCGGGCUCAACCCGGGAAGUGCGCGCGAAACUGCGGGGCUCGAGCGGAGGAGGGGAGAGCGGAAUUCAUGGUGUAGCGGUGAAAUGCGUUGAUAUCAUGAGGAACACCGGUGGCGAAGGCGGCUCUCUGGAAUCCUGCUGACGCUGAGGCGCGAAAGCCGGGGGAGCAAACAGGAUUAGAUACCCUGGUAGUCCCGGCCCUAAACGGUGCAUACUUGGCGUGGGGAGUUUCACCCUUCCCGUGCCGGAGCUAACGUGUUAAGUAUGCCGCCUGGGGAGUACGGCCGCAAGGCUAAAACUCAAAGGAAUUGACGG